UGGGUGUGCAGUGAAUCUGGAGUAGAACAGAUCUGGACCUUGUUAAUGUAUCUGCUGGAAGCCUUCCUGUAAGGAUCCCUACCCAGGAACCAACAGAGAACCUGUGUCCCCCAUGGCUUUUGGGGGGAAUUCAGAGGUGCUGGGGGCGGCUCGGACUUGACUGUGGAGCUGACAUGCCUGGCAAUAUUGAAACCAUAGCAUCUGGGGACACUGUUCUGCUCAAGGGACCUGUCUGGAGGAAGAAGGAACUACACCAGCCCAGGAAAUGGAGCAGGGUUUCAUAUCAGUAGCCUCCACAGGUGUUGCAAGUCUGUGACACACAUGUAAUCAGACAGACAGAUAUGCACGCAUUUGCACCUAAAUUAGGGGAAAGGUGACCUGUGUUCUCAUAGUGGGAAUAUCUGGAAGGCUUUAGAGCAGCAAAACAGGCUGCUCCUCUGUUUUGAUGCAUCUUCAUGACCAAGUGGACAGACCCUAGGACUUGAAGCUUUCCUCAAGAUGAGUGCUGCCUAGCCAGGACCCUUCCUGGCCUGCUCAGUGCCCAGAAAGUCUCUAGAAAGAUUGCUGUGCUGUACAGCCCAGCCUGUCACCAUUCCUCAGGAAGAUAUUGGACGCUGGAGGAUGGGUGACUAUGAAAACAAGUGUCACUUACUGUGAGCAGAGAGAGGGGACACCAUACCUCAAAAAAAUGACUGGAGGAAACCCAAAGAAGACCUGGACACUCCACAUCGGCACUGAAAUAUCUUUAUUCUAAGUUCACAAACAUCCAGGGACCAGGAGGAAGCUUGGAGCUUUCCAGACAGAACAAACAAGAGCAGUGUCCUGCAACAAUGUAAAGGGACCUGGAGAAAAAGAGGACACUUAGUAGCACCUGGACCUCUCUGUCCUCUGCAAGCAUGGAGCCCUCCAUAGGAAGCAGUGUGCACUGCGACUUUUCAGCAGGUCUGUGACCAGCUUGCACCACCACUUUUCAGCAGGGCUGUGACCUUGGGCAGGGCAUCACUCCUUGACAUUAGUCAGUGUUUCUUGCUUGGAAAGAACAAGGCCAUGAUGGGCAAAAGGAGCUUCUGGGGCCACGCCCCUUAUCCCUGCAACACCUGGUCAGAUUAAAGAGACCAGGUGUGAAGGCUAGCAGGGGGCGGGGUGAGGCCUUUCAUAUUCCUUUGUAUUAAAUUUUUCUUCUUGCC
rnacentral:lncRNA from 1 species